UUUCUAUUACAUUUUAUACCGUGACAGCAGGGUGAGAGUGACAUACCGCAGUCAUGACGUCAUCGAUGACGUUUCAGUGAGCUAUCCUGAAGGCGGCUUUACACCUGGCAAUUCCUAGUCGCCAAUACAGUCGCGACGAUCUAGCGGCUAGACCAGCUGGGUGCUCUCGGGAGCAAGUACGUUCACACGUGGGAGGAGAAGGAGAAGACGUAAUCUGCUAGUAAAUGCAAGGGCAUGAAUUCAUCCCAGACACCCCAAAAGGCUAGUACCAUAUCUUAAAACCACAAUGAAUCUGGUCCAUUAGCCUAAUAUUGUAGAAAUACUUUAUAGUAUAUCAUCCUAACGGACUCCUCCUCCCCCAAUUGGAAGCCAGCGUGACGUCAUGGCAUGCAUAAGAAAGCUGUUUAACGAAACACACGAGAGAAAAAAAAAAAUCCUGCUCCCGUCGGGGAUUAAACCAGUGAUCAACGAGGCGGGUAUGCCCCGCCUUAUCCACUCGGCCACGGAGACGCCCUUCUCAUGAGGCAAGCUAGGGAAGAGUUGGUCAUCAGGGCGGCCGGUCAGCUGCAAUACAAAGUAUAGCCAGCGCAGAGUAAAUAAUUAUAAGAAAUACUAAGCUUUGCAAAGUCCUGUUCGUUAAGGUAUGUCCUUAGAGCAAGAGAGUUUCGAUAAACAAGUUUUGGAUCACUUACUUAACCGACGCGUCCUUGUCAUCUUAAGUAUAAACGUGAACGGGCUAAGUCUUUACCGACGCGUCCUUCCCAGCAAACCAGCACCGUCGGCAGAAGGGCGCCCACCGUCAGCAGAAUUCCUGACGUCAAAUCGACGGAGGGCCUCCGUACUCCAACGACUUUAAUUAUCGUCUUCUGCAGUGACAUGCUGUAUGUGCGUGUGUAAAAGACGUUUUUAUUUUUUUAUUUUUUAUUUUUAAAUGUGGCCCUAAGGUAUCUAUGUGAUGGAUAAUGAAUCGAUCGGUCUUUCGAGAAACUGCAAACGACCAUGGGCAUAUAGUAUAUACACUUCUGUACACACACACACACACACACACACACACACACACACACACACACACAUAGCACAAUUAACAUUCACCAGUGACGUGAAUCCCUCUUCGAUUGAUUUUUUUGUAAAUCAAUCAUUGUGUUAUCAUUAUUAAUGUAUGUAAAUUAAAAUGAACUUGGGUACUUCGUGGAGUUCUAUACUCAUAAUGUGAUGCGAAAAAAAAAGUCGGGUGAUGUGUUCCCUGCGACACGAGUCAGUGUGCACUGUGACGUGGGCGGCAGUGGGUGUGUGACGUGUAUGUUUCUGUGCGAUAACGUGUCCGUGGGCCUAGGAGAACGCAUAGCCUACUGCAUAAUAUACCCAGAGAGACGAAAGGAGUCACAUCGCUGCCGCUUCUCCACUCCCGGGGCCCCUCCAUCUCGGACGUCACGAAGCCACGUCACCACCUUGCCAGUGGUCCCUGGGCCUCUCCUUCCAGGACUCCUUGUGGACAACGUGACGCUACGCCGGGAUUGCCAUACCUGCCAUGUGUGUUGAGGAGACGAUUAAAACGUAAAACGUUA